AUGGCGCUUCCCCGGCGAGGAGCAGCCUGGCGCCGCCGGGCCCCGCGCCGCCUCCCGCCCCCCCCACCUCGGGAGGCGACAGCACCGAAAAUAAAGGGGGAAAAAACUACAUUUUGGGCCACGGCGGAGGGGGGGGGGGGGGGGGGGGGGGGAGCAGAGAGGCCGGGCUGGGCCCCGCGGCCCGGCCGCUCCGGGUCCCGCUGCGCCGCGCUGCCUGCGGGCGCCACCCCGCUGCGCGGCGGCCUCGCGCGGACCCCGGCGGCCUGGGCCUGGGCCUGGGCCGUGGCGGCGGCGGCGACGGCGUCCGGGCCGCGCUCACCUGCUGGGCCGCUCCGCGGCGAACUCGGCGCCGCCGGACUCCGCCAUCUUCGCUGCUGCGCUGCUGCCGCUGCCGCUGCCGCCGCCGCUGCCGCCGCCGGGCCCGGAGCUUGGGAAGGCGGCGGCCGCCACCGCCGCCGCGUUAAAGGCGCAGCAGCGAGCGGCGGCGGCCCGCGGAGGGGCCCGCGGCUCCGCUCCGCUCCCGCCGGGCCUGGCGCCGCCCCGGGGGGGGGUCCGAGGGGGGCCCUGUCGCCACCCCACGGCCGUGGGGCUGGGGUGGGGUGGGGUGGGGGGGCGCAUCGGGGUCCCAGGGGAUCUGUCACCACCCUGUGGGGCCUGUCACUGCCCCCGGGGUCCUGGGGGACCUGUCAUUGCCGUGGGUCUCGGGGGUCCCAGGGGGUCUGUCACUGUCCUGGGGGGGGCUGUCACCACCCUGGGGGGCCCAUCACGGCCCCAGGGGUCCCAGGGGACCCGUCACCACCUUGGGGGUUCAAUGGGGCCUGUCAUUGCCCCGGGGUCUUGGGGGGCCUGUCACCGCCAUGGGGGGGGGGGGCUGUCGCCACCCCACAAGCCGCCCUGGGCCGGGCCGGUGUCCUUGUGACACCAGAUCCACCCAUCCCCGUGGUGACAGCAGGACCUCAGGGUCCCUCCUGCUGUCACCGCGUCCCUGGGGCUGCCCCACAAGGAGGGCAGAGCCCCACGGUCCCCUCAUGGCGGCACCUCCGUCCGCCGAGGCCAUCACGGCCCCAGUUGCCACCAAAGGAGCCACCUGCCCCUGGAAGCACCCGCAGGUGCCACCUGKGGCUGCCCUCCAACAUGCCCAGCACCAUUUCCCAACCGGGCAGGCCUUUCCCCCCCCCUCUUCCGAAUUAUCCGGCAGCUGCUGCUGGGCCUUCGGUGUGGCCUGCGCCCCAGUGCUUAAUGUUUUCACUUUGGUUUCCAGGUGUAAUUCAUUAA
rnacentral:lncRNA from 1 species